CGCGCCCGCUGUCGCCGCCGCCGCCGCCGCCGGGAGUCGCCCGGAGCAGGCUCUUCCAAGUCAGCAUCCUGCUGCUUACCAAAGAAACACUAAAUGAUACAGAAGCAAUGGUUCAUCUUCAGAAGGUACACAGCCACACCACUGAGGAACUUGUGAAUAUUCAGUGAAUGCAAUCCACUGCAAAGAAAGAAAGAAAGACAUUUGCUUCAAUGAAACAUGGGAAUGAACCAAGAAGGUGAAAAGAAGUCCCAGGAUGACAGCUGUGCAUCUGGCCUUGAGGCAGUUCAAACUGGGAAAGAUGGAUAGAAGGUCUUGCCUGGGGUGCCGGGGAGACUCCAGGAAAAAGCUGCACACAAAACCACACCUGAUAUGUAUAGAAAUAAUCAAAAAGUAAAGACACACAGAGAGAGAGAAAGAGGCAAAGACACAGGAGGAGGGAGAAGCAGGCUCCAUGCCGGGAGCCUGACGUGGGACUCGAUCCCAGGAUUCCAGGAUCGCGCCCCGGGCCAAAGGCAGGCACCAAACCACUGAGCCACCCAGGGAUCCCUCAAAACAUUAUUCCUGAGCAAAAGAAGCCAAACAUAAAAUACAUGCGUCAAUCCUAUGGUCCAUUUAUAUGAAAGUCUAGAGCAGUCUGCAAAUCUGUUGCUUGAGGCGAAGGCAGGAAUUAGUAUAAAUGCACUAACUAAACUCUUUGAGGUGAUGGAAAUAUUCUGCAUUUUGAUUUUCAUCGUGGUCACAUGUGUAUAAACUUUUGUCAUACUCAGUGAACUGUAAGGUCAGUUCUACUAUAAUGCUUACUUUUGACAAUGUAUAUUUGUUAUAACACAGUACAAAAAAAUUACUGUAAGUUAAAUUUUGACUUUGUGUGAUUUCAUCCACUAAAAAACACCAGAUGAACACAGAAAAUUGUACCCAGCUGAAAUGAUAUGCAUAUAUAACUUGCCAACCUUUAUGCUAUUAUUUUCAUAUUUUACUUCAAACAGUCAUAAACCCCACCAUACACUGUUACAUUUGCUUUUAAAAGGUAAUUUUUUAAAUGAUAAAAAUGAAAAAAAAAUCUCAUAUUUUCCCACGUAUUUACCAUUUCUGGCAUUUUUCAUUCAUUUGUAUGGAACUAGGUUUGUAGGUUUGUAUCUGGUAUAAUUUUUCUUCCUCUAGAAGAACUUGUAAAUUUUCUUGUAAUUCAGGUUUGCUGGAAAUAAACCCUUUGCUUUUGUCUGCCUCAAAAUGUCUUUAUAUUGCUCUUUUUAAAGGUUAUUUUCAUAUGACAUAGAAUCUUAGAUUAUCUUUUUUUUUAAAAAAGAUUUUAUUUAUUUGAGAGAGAGAAAGCAAGAGACAGAGCACAAGCAGGGGGGGCAGGGGCAGAGAGAGGGAGAAGCAGACUCCCUGCUGAGCAGGGAGUCCAACAGGGGGCCCUGUCCCAGGAAUCUGGGAUCAUGACCUGAGCCAAGGUCAGAUGCCCAACUGACUGAGCCACUCUUAGAUCAACUUUUUAAAAAACCAUAUUAAAGUUAUCAUCCCAUUCCUUGUUUUGGCUUGGUUUUUUCUGACAAGAAAUCAGUAGUAAUUCUUAUCUUGAUAUCCCUAUAUUUAAUGUUUCUUUUUUUCCUUUGGCUGCUUCUCAGAGCUUCACUUUAUCACUGGUUCUCAACAAUUUGAAUAUGGUAUGCCUUAGAAUAGUUUUCUUUUCAAUUAUCCUGCAUGGAAUUUGUUGAGUUUAAGGCAAUGAAACUUGCCUUAAAAUUACUGGACAAUAACAACAAUGUACCAUAUAUAGCAGAGUUGGAACUUAAAUCCUUAGUUUGACUCCAGGGUUUGUGCUCUUAAUCACUAUAUUAUUUUAGCAAACUACCUUAGAGAAGUACUUGCUCAUACUUACAAAGACACACAUAAUAAUUAUGUUCAUCAAAAUGUUAUAUUGGAAAAAACCUAAAUGUCUAUCAAUAGGAACUGGUAAUAUAUAUAUUAGAGUACAUUCAUAUUAUGGAGCAACAUACAAACUUUAAAAAAUAUAGUAGUCAUAGAAUAAUGCUCUGGAUAUUGAGUAAAAAAAUAAUUGUAAAACAUUAAACAUAGUAUAAUGCGGUCGAUUUUAAUCCAUAUGCCACAGGCAAUUGACUGUAUACAUGUGGGAACAGAAUUUGUGUAAGAAUAGAAGAUUCACAUGGAGCCACCAGAGAGGUUGGGUGGGCGAUUCACAGAAAGUUUUGAUCUGAUUGAAUCUUUUUACCAUGGGAAUCUGUUCAUGUGUUUAUAAUUAACAAAAUGAAAAUGAAAUGGACAUUUCUCCCCUCCAAAAAAUAAAUGGACACUUUUUUCUGCAAAGAAUAUCUACUAUGUGUCUAAAAAUACUUUGAGUAAGAAAUAUUUUGAGCUCAUAGAAAUAGUUACUGAUUUCACAGAAAUCAGGAGAUAUUUAAUAAAAAUUCAAAGAAUGAACGGGCCUUAAAGAUUUAUUAACCCUCCCAUCAGUGCUCCUAAUUCUUCCUAAAUAUCCAUCCAAGUUGUAGUAACCUAAUGUAGCACACAUCUAUUGGUUUUCAUGCCCAACAUGCAAUAGCCACUUCUUUUGGUAAAAGCACCUCAAUGUUCUCCUGAGGACUUUCUUUUACCCUACUGAAUGCAUUUUCAGUGAAAUGAUCAAUUCUGUCUUUUCCUGACCAAGGAGUGGGUGUGUAAGCUAAACUAGGCCAAGCAGACUCUCUGCCUUGAGAACUUAAAUCUUGAGUGGAAUGACACAAGGUCAGAAGACUGAGCUGAUUAAGUAGCUGAGGAAACUGUCCAUUGGUUCCUGCUACUUAGAUUCCAUGAGAUGCUUCCUAUCCUUUCCCAAUACCAGUUCCUUGGCCUUUCCUUAAGUUCUGUGAAUCAGCCCAAAUCCUUAUGAUUAAUCCCGUCUCUGUUUAAGUCAGCCAGUUUCCAUUGACAGUAAUCAUAGAAUGCUAACUGAUACAGCUGGAUGUAAAUACACUCAAUAAAGAGGUUACAACUAAUUUUAAGAGAGUACACUGCAUUUAAGUUUUGCUUAACUUUGUGCCAGAACUUACUUCUUUAUAAAAUCUAUAUUAGUUAUAGCUCUAUUUCUGGAGCUUCAGAGUAUCCAAGCUCCGUCUUGCAAUGGCAUGUAUUUAAAAACUAUUAUCAUUUAUACCUAAAUACUUUCUUAGCAAAAAACUCACUUUCUCAAUUAAAAUAUGUAUAACUACUUCACACUGACUAGAAAUGGUUAUAAGAAAAAAGACAAUUCUAAAUGUUGAUGAGAAUGUGAAGAAACUGGAAGCUUCAUACCUUGCUGCAGGGAAUAUAAAAUAAGACAGCCACUGUGGAAAACAGUUUAUAUGAUUAAAAUAUUUAUAUAAUUUAAUGUUUUCAAAUGGACGUUAUAAAUAAUCACCUAUUGUAAUAUCAUCCCAUGUCAUGAUAUCCAUGAAAUCAUGGUCUUUAGAUGUUAUAUUUUUCUAUGAUACAUUAAAGAUACACUUAAAUAUUCAUUUAAAAUGUGGUUCACUUACUAUUGAAAUUGAUUUCUUGUGCUGCUAAUGGUAGAUACUUAUUGCCCUUUGGGAAACAGUUUUUUUUUUUUUAUAUUUUAAAAAAUGUAUAAAUUAAUUUUCAUUAAACCAAUUACCAACUUAGGAAACAAAAAUAUAAAAUUUAUGUAACAUGUGAUAAGAUACAGAAAGUAUUAAACCUUUCAUUUAGUAAAUAGUGAUUGUUUCUGGUUGCCUUUUUUCAAAAGGAAGUGAUUAAAGUGCUGGCAAUUUGGGAGCCAAGAAGUCUCUCUUCUACUCUGUACCCAACAUGACCAUAAGCCACUCUAUUUCAGGGAAAAAGGAGACCUCCACAUAGAGAAAAGGAAAAAAAGGAAGUACGACAAAAUGUUAACUGGUUAUUUAAGAAAUUAUGGGUCAUUGUUUUCUUUACAUUUUUUACUGUGUUCUUUCUCCUUUGCUUCGUUUAUUUAAUGUUCCUCUAUUUUUUUAAAUAAAAUUAUAUAGUAAAACUUUUUGUUCUUUGGAUACGUUCAGAUGAAAAUAUUAUUUCAACCUAUUCCUUAUAAUAGUUAAAUUUCUAAUUUUAGAUUUUGAUUCAAAAAUAAAAAUUUAAGUGAGGAUACCAACUUCUUCCUUAUUUUUUGAAGUACUGAUAUUUAUAUACACCUUUUUUUAAAGAUUAUUUAUUUAUUUAUUCAUGAGAGAUACAGAGAGAGAGAGAGAGAGAGAAAGAGAGGCAGAGACACAGGCAGAAGGAGAAGCAGGCUCCAUGCAGGGAGCCCAACGCGGGACUCGAUCCUGGGUCUCCAGGAUCACACCCCAGGCUGAAGGCAGCGCUAAACCGCUGAGCCACCCGGCCUGCCCUUCUAUACACCUUCUAUAGCUAAUUAUGUUACUAAGUUCUCAGAGCAAUAGAAUAGAUAUUUGCCCAUUAUUACACGAAAAAAUAGAUAUCUGCCCAGUAUUACAUGAAAAAAAUUAAUAAAAACUGAAUGCCCUCAAUGGCCAGAGUAGCACACACAAAAAUUGGGUUCUGAGACCUAAAACCUUCUUGUAAUUAUAGCUUCAUUAUUCUCAAGACACUAUUGGUUAAGAUAUAUGAUACAUGGGAUUUUUCAGAAUUUGCUUUUAAUUACUCUAGUAGGCAUAAGGACAAACUGGGGGCUGGUGGAUAGAUGAAAGGGAUAGAUGUAAUUAGCACAAUUGCAUAAUGCUGAUAAUUACUGAAGGUGGGUGGUAAGUAAACAGGUUUUCCUUAUUUUUUAAAAUUUACUGUCUGAAAAAUUCUAUAAUAAAAUUUAAAACAAAGAAAAUAAUUCUAAAUGCACUAUUUACAGUGACAACUAAAGCAAACUCCACGGUAUAUCCAAAACAGAAUUAAAAUGAACAAAUAAAAAACUCAUUAUAAAAUAAAGCUCCAAGUGGUCUAUAUAAUAAUUUUGCUUUUUUAUCUGUAUAGCCAAAGGAAAAAACCAAGUAUUUACCAAUAAACACAAGGCUAUUUAAAAGUUGCAUGAAAGCUUAUGAUCGCCACCUACUGUACACUGUUAUUAACUGCUUGCUACAGAAAAACAAUCACUAUUGAAUAAGUGCCUGCCUCCCCCCUCCAGGCAAAGCAUCCGGUCCUUCAUGUGAUAAUCCUAAUACCAUUAAAUUCAUGUUUACAUGUAUGUUUAUAUUAGUAAUAUUAAUUAACGUUCUAUUAAAUAACUUCUAACAACGUGAAAUGCCACCUGCAAAAAAUACUUUGUCAGAAAAGCAUAGUGGUAUCAUUUUACAAUGUCCUUAUUUUACAGAAGAAAGAUCCUAGAUUUUGAAUUGUUUUCUCAUACACUGAGAACGCAGAAUUUAAAUUACUUACACAUAGAGAUAAAUCAAAAACCUAUAAAUUAGUCCUGGCUUUUUUUUUUAAGAUUUUAAUUAUUUAUUCAUGAGAGACACACAGAGAGAGGCAGAGACAUUGGCAGAGGAAGAAGCAGGCUCCAUGCAGGAAGCCCAAUGUGGGACUCAAUCCCAGAUCUCCAGGAUCAUGCCCUGAGCCAAAGGCAGUUGCUUAACCGCUGAGCCACCCAGGCAUCCCAGUCCUGGCUCUUAAAUUUGGUGCAUUAGCUUUUUAUUACCUGUUCUUAAAAUUGCAACUUAUUUUUUUUAAGAUUAUUUAUUUACUCAGGAGAGACAGAGAGAGGGAGACAGAGACAUAGGCAGAGGGAGAAGCAGGCUCCAUGCAGGGAGUCUGAUGUGGGACUUGAUCCUGGGUCUCCAGGAUCACGCCCUGGGCUGAAGGCAGGUGCUAAACCGCUGAGCCACCCGGGCUGCCCUAAAAUUGCAACUUUUAUUGCAAAUUUUACUUUUUUUUAAAUAACCUAGCUAAUUGCAUAUACCAGUGAUUCUUGAUCCCGGUGCAUCAGUAUUACCUGUGACUUUUUUUUUUUUUUUUUUUUAGUAGGCUCCAUGCCCACCCAACACAGGGGUUGAACUCACAACCCAGAAAUUAAGAGUCACAUGCUCUACCGACUGAGCCAGACAGGUGCACCUGGAGUUUUUAUUUUUUUAAGAUUUUAUUUAUUUAUUCGUGAGACACACACAUACACACACACAGAGGCAGAGACACAGGCAGAGGGAGAAGCAGGUUCCAAGCAGAGAGCCUGAUGUGGGACUCGAUCCUCGAGACUCCAGGAUCACGCCCUGGGCAGAAGGCAGGCGCCAAACCGCUGAGGCACCCAGGGAUCCCUCCCCUGGAGUUUUCAAAUAAACUGUUGGUGGUACCAUAGCCAGAGAUGUUUUUUAUCUAGCCAGAAUUUAAAAAGCCAGUAGAAAAUAACAGGGGUUCUCAAAGUGUUAUCCAUGAAACAGCAACAUCAUCACCUGGGAAUUUGUUAGAAAUGUACAUUUUAAAGGUUCACACAAGACUGCUAAGCAGAGCCCAGAGAUUCGUGAUUGUGAGCCCACCAGGUGAUUUGAAUACAGGCUAAAGUCUGAAUAUCACUGGUAUUUAAUAUAAAAUUUUUAAGUUUUUAAUCUCUUUAAAUGUAAGAUUUAAUUCUCUGUUCUCUAUGAAAAUAUGAUAAUAAUAAUGCAAAAGAGAAAGACAUUUACAUUAAGGGUAAUCUAGUACAAUUCUAUUUUCUAGAAACAUAUCAUUAUAAACACUCAACAUUAGUUCUAGUUAGCCAAAAGGAAAAAUGCUUAAUGAAAGAGUAGGGAAUAAUUUAUCCCUUAAUGUUAAUAAAACCCUUGAAUGUUCUUGCCUAGAGCAAAUUUUCCAACCAUACUUCCUUGUUCUGGUUUGUUCUGAUCACAAAAGCACCUAAGACACAAUUAAGACUUCUUGCCAUAUCAUACCUUUUAACCCAGGGAUGUCACUGCUAGGACUAGAGAGGAAAAUAAACUACACUCAAAGAUUUUCUCCAAAGCAUUGUAAAUAACAGAGAAGGGGGAUCUGAAAGUGAUUUAAAUGUCCAACAAUUAAGAAAUGAUUCCAUAAAUUACAGGACAGGAUGGAAUAUUGCUUAACCAUUAAAAUGAUGCUUUCUACAUGAGAUUUCAAAUAAUAUGGAAAAAUGCUUACUUUAUAGCAUCAUGUGUAUGUUCUCUCUCUCUCUGUCAAGUGAAAAAGACAAUAUAAAGCACCAAAAUAUUAAUGCUCGUUAUCUCUGAGUAGUAGGAUUAUGAGAUUUUUUUUAUAAUUAUUAGUGUUUUUAAAACUUCCCAUCAUAAGAGUACACUUAAUCUACUCAUCAGAAUAAGAUCCACAAAUAUAAAAUACAGCUUCUACUCUGAAUUAGGAUCUUCAAAUAAUGACUAAUCGGUAAGCCUUCAAAAGAUAGUAACUAGGGAAAACAAGUAAAUAUCUUUUUGUCUCCCUAACCUACACCACUCUUUUCUCAUACCACUCCUUCUAACCCUUUUAUUUCUACUUUCUUCACAUCAGCUCUGCCAUAACCAGAGAUAUUAAGACAUAAUUAUCCAAUGUUUUCACAAUUUUAAACUGUUCAGCUAAACAGUCCAAUUUAUCUUAGAAUAUAUAAAAAGGAGAUAAAAUACCCUAAUGGUUAAGAGAACAGACUUCAAAAUCAGACAGAUCUAGGUUUGAGUCUUAGUUUAGGGGAGCUCACAGAGGUUUCAAUUUUAUUAUCUGUAAGUAGGAGUACCAACCCUCCUUCAGUGAACUGUUAUGAGGAUGAAAUGAGAGGAUGCAUAUAAAGCAUAAGCUGGUAGUAGGCACUCAGAAGAUAACUGCUAUUACUAUUUUAUAGUUAAUGUUAAAAUUAUUUUAGGUAAAUAGCCCUCAAAUUUUAAUUUUCCUGUGGAAAAAAGCUUACUAAGGUACAAUGGUUGCUCACAGUCAUUUGGACUCCUCCAUCCACUUCUAUUUCAAAAACAAUUUGGAAGCUGCCAAAAUACUCUUUACAAAGUGGGUGUUACUAAAACCCACCAACAAAUUUAUCAAUGCUAUUAUUUCAUGAAAGAAGCAGCAUUUGAACAUCUGAAAAAGAAAGAAGAGAACAAAAAAGAAAAGAAAAGAAAAGAAAAGAAAAGAAAAGAAAAGAAAAGGAAAGAAAAAAGAAAAGGUCUGAAGAUAGUCUUUGGGUAAAGGAAAUCAUUCCAAAGAAAGGACAGUGGGCAACUGCAUCUCAAACUUAUCCUUAUGUUUUCCAUUUUGUCACCUGCCAGUAAAUACAUAAAGACCAAUACCAGUUUGCAAACGGACACUUGAUGAAAGACACUCAACUUCCUAGCCUGAUACUUCUCCAUCCCAUCCACAUCAUGGGAUGUUCAUUCAACAAACACUAUCCAAACCUAUUACUUGCUGUUAAGUAAAGGAAUUCAAGAUCAAAAGAGGUUAAGUAUAUGAAGUAUAGUGAAAACACUAUACACUAUAUGUAUAUUGUAAAGCACCAUUAAAUUAUAUAGUGUUGUCAUUAUAAAACCCCACAAAUAUUAUAAAUUAAUUCCUAAAAGGAAAAACGAUUUCCCACUCACGUUUUAAUGUCUUAGUCAUUUUCUAUGUUCACGCUAUCACAAGUGACAUUUAAAAUUCUUAGAAUGAACAUUUGCCAUACUUUUUCUUUAGAAAAUAGUCAAAUUUGGGAUCCCUGGGUGGCGCAGCAGUUUGGUGCCUGCCUUUGGCCCAGGACGUAAUCCUGGAGAUCCGGGAUCAAAUCCCACGUCGGGCUCCCGGUGCAUGGAGCCUGCUUCUCCCUCUGCCUAUGUCUCUGCCUCUCUCUCUCUCUGUGUGUGACUAUCAUAAAUAAAUAAAAAUUAAAAAAAAGAAAGAAAAAGAAAAUAGUCAAAUUUGUGAUAUAGCUCAUGACUCUGCCAUUCUCUAUCUUACAAAAAUUGAGAAUAUUACUUUUCCCCAGAAAGUAUGGCUUUCAAGGGAAAGUUAUUAAGCUAGAUAUUGCCGCUAUAUUACCAGCAUGCAGAAUCUAAAUUCUAAAGAAGACAAU